GAAAAAAUUUCGCCUUCAGUUUUCGUGAACACAAUCAAUCGAUUCGGUUUCAAAUGGCGACUUCUAUGGUUGAAGAUACGAACCUCGAAGAAGACCAGUUGGCUUCCAUGACCACUGACGACAUCAUUCGGGCUUCUCGUCUUCUUGACAACGAGAUUCGGAUCCUCAAGGAAGAGAUGCAAAGGACGAAUUUGGAGUGGGAUUCUUUCAA
rnacentral:misc_RNA from 1 species